rnacentral:lncRNA from 1 species
CUCUGAUUAGAACAGCACACUCUGGGGGCAUACAAAUAAUAAUUAUAAGGAGUUAAAAAAACACAAAUUGCCAAUAUAAGCAGAGAAAUUAUCCGGAUUUUCACUCAUAUGUGUGAAUAUUUUGAAAAAGGUCGCUCCUCCUAUCAUUACUAUAGUCUUUAAUGCUUCUAGUCAAGUUAAAGUCAAAGAUGUUACUGUCAGGUAGACCAUGUUGAUUAUAAAUCAUGUACUAUCAUGAUCACUGUACUAAAUUCAGUGGACUGCGCCCGUAAAAGGCAGAAGUGACUUACCAACUCACUGACUUUGUUUUUACUUUUUGGAGCUCCACAUAUCCUGCAUGGUGUUAAUUGAAGGGACUUUCUUCUUUGGCUAGAACUUUCAUUGAUGUAUAAUAGACCACUUGCACCUCAACGUGUCCGUAAAAAUAUAGAACGCUGACUUAAAGAGUAUGAUGAUUACAUGAACACAGUAGAACAACCGACACUGGUCUGAAUGAUUAAGAAUUGUGUAAUUCCAUAAAAAAAAACCAAAAAAAAAAAAAAAAAAAAAAAAAA